rnacentral:rRNA from 1 species
CGAGCACGCGCGUGUGGCAUAUCAAUAAGCGGAGGAAAAGAAACUAACAAGGAUUCCCUUAGUAACGGCGAGUGAAGCGGGAAGAGCUCAAAUUUGAAAUCUUCAAGGUUCUACCUUGACGAAUUGUAGUUUAUAGAAGUGUUUUCUGUUAGUGGAGUGGCAAAAGUUCUUUGGAAUAGGACAUCAUAGAGGGUGAGAAUCCCGUAUUUGAUCACUUUACUUCUAACGUUGUGAUACACUUUCAAAGAGUCGGAUUGUUUGGGAAUGCAGUCCAAAAUGGGUGGUAAAUUUCAUCUAAAGCUAAAUAUUGGCGAGAGACCGAUAGCGAACAAGUACCGUGAGGGAAAGAUGAAAAGAACUUUGAAAAGAGAGUUAAACAGUACGUGAAAUUGUCAAAAGGGAAGCGUUUGACACCAGGUGUUGUUUUUCCGAAAAUCAAUUACGAAUGUUUUGUUUUUAAGGAGUUAUGACUUCAUCGGCUUGCUCCUUUCUUUAUGAAACUUUCUUAAUGCACUUUUCGGUUAACAAGUCAACAGUCAAUUUCUUUUGUUGUAAAAGGGUAUGAGGAAGGUGGCUUUCUUUUCGGAGAAAGUGUUUAUAGCCUUGUGCCUCUGCAAUCGGAGAGAUUGAGGUCUGCAGCGUAGAUCCUUCGGGGUUAGAUACAUUUGUGCUAAGUUAUAGCUUUUCAUAGACAACUUGUUGACUAUGAUUUAAUCAUUGUAGCUUACUCGCUUACUGCUAUUUUACCUACGCUUAGGAUGUUGAUGUGAUACUGCGAGC